CGUAGGGGGCAAGCGUUGUUCGGAAUUACUGGGCGUAAAGGGCGCGUAGGCGGCAUGGCAAGUCGGGAGUGAAAGCCCGGGGCUCAACCCCGGAACGGCUUUCGAAACUGCCAAGCUAGAGUACGGAAGGGGCAACUGGAAUUCCCAGUGUAGCGGUGAAAUGCGUAGAUAUUGGGAAGAACACCGGAGGCGAAGGCGGGUUGCUGGGCCGAUACUGACGCUGAGGCGCGAAAGCCAGGGGAGCAAACGGG
rnacentral:rRNA from 1 species